GCCAGAAAAAAGGUUUUGUCCAUUAAACGUAAAUUGGGAAAGUUUUUUUGACCGAUCAAAGUCCUUGUGUAGGAAUAAAUAGUGUUUUUUUCCAACGUGUUUCUCCUUAGAUGCAAACAACGGUAGCUUGGUUUUGUACAUUUCAUUUCCGGUGAAUGAACACUGAAAAUGCACCCGAUGGCACUUGGUUUUGUAUAUUUCAUUUCCGGUGAAUGAACACGGAUGCACACCGAUUACACUUUGUUUUGUACAUUUCAUUUCAG